CUCUAUUUCACAUGUCUCUACACAUGAAUCCUUUGAGGAUGGGGCCCUGAAAACAUGCGUCCUUCUUCAUCUGGUGCCCAGUAUGGAUUCGGACUCCAAGAGGAUGGACAUUGAAGAGGCUCCUUAUGAAGUUUGAUAGCCAUUUGGGCAAGAAACUGCUCUUUCCUGGACUUGUUGGUGAACUGGACAUACAGAACCCACAGAGAAAUGACUGCUGAACUUACCUAAAGGUCAGCAUCAAUAAGAAUACAGUCUCAGUAAAUUAUCAGCCAAGGAGCAUGGGAUUGAAUGAACCAAAUCAAUUGUUGGAAGGAUGGAGAGGAGCUAUGUCAUUCACAUGGUUAUCCUGGAUGGAAGCACCAAGCCAUUGUGGAGUUGUAUCCUCACCCUCUCCCCUUACGCUUGAAUAUCACCAGUACUCUGCCCUGGGGGUGUUGAAUUUUAGUAGAAAACAGAGAGAGUAUCCAGUCAUCGGAGUUAGAAUCUGUUAGCUUUGCAGAAGGGUCAGUGGAAAGUACAGAUCCCUUAAGGAGCUUUCAUUCACAGGACAUUCUAGAUGGUCCUCCCAGUGGUAAUCUUGUUAACUCUUCUCAUGGGGAUCAAGACCCAGGCAACAAGCCUCCACAAACCACAGAAGGAGCAGAGGGAGAUCAAGGAUGAAACAGUCAAGGGUAAUGGAAGGAGGCAGAGCUGAACAAGACUGUAGCCUCUGCUUCCUCCUGGCUUACAGCUCUUCUAGACACAAAGGAACCAAAAGGACGACCCUCCUUCCUGAAGAAGUCCAGUGAGCAACAUUUGUCCACACAGAUUCCCUGCCAUGU